CAAGAAUAUUGAAUGGUAUAAAAGGAAAAAUUUUCGUACUUAAAAAUCAGUUUAAGUAUUCUACACGUUGGUAUACCUAUCUUAUUUAAAAACAAUAAAAAUGAAGUACUUUUCAGUUUUCGCAGCACUUUUCGUCGUUUUUGCUUAUUUCAGCGCCGUUUCAGCAGUUUCUCCAAUGGCUUGUGCUAUAACAUUGUCUUCAGGAGAAAGGAAGCCCUUGGGAAUAGGGCAACAAAUGAUUGAUAUCACACCUAAAGGAAUUUGCAAACUUUUCUUUUGUCAACAAGACUUGGAAGUGAUGGUCCAGGGAUGUUAAAUAAUGCAAAGGCUUUUGAAGGAGUCUUGGAAGUCGCACAUGAAAGCACUCCAAUGA